GAGCUGACUGAACCCUUAUCUUCUUCCAUCUAGAAGGACAGAAAAGCAACAAAUCUUACAAAGAACCAUGCUUGCAUCGCUUCACAACAGUUACCAUAUUUAUAUAGGAACUUUCAUUUUACAGAUCUGUUCCUGAGAGAGAACGGAGCAUACUUACACAGGAAAGGUAAUUGCUUUUGAGUUAACUGCUAACUCAAACACACUUUAUCAGUGCACAAGUUUGGUAUAUAACAAUAAAAGUUUGGUAUUUUUGUGCACCACAGGCAACAGAAGGGGAAACACAACAAAUCUGAAAUCCAUUUCAAGUUUUCAAAUUCUGGUUUCAGAUUCAGGUUUAGAUGUUCUCCCUUUCCCAACAAAAAGGAUCACUGCAGUUUGUUCAUCUUUUUACAGGGUGUUCUAUAUGCCACACAACAGACAUUUCAACUGAACAUCUCAUCACUCUGAAAUACACAGUUGGGACUUAACAGGAAGUACCUUUAGCCCCGUACAUCACGGUAAGAACACUGCAGUUAUCUUCCUGCUAUGUGCUACCAACAUGUUUGAUACCAUACAGACAUUACAGAAGAUACAUGGUAUGGCUACUGCCACUCCACAAUUAAGCUGAAACUUAAUUCUCUAUUGUAAAGCUCACUCUUAUUUUUGUUUGUUUUUAACCUGUAGCACAUUAUAUACCGGAAUAGCAAAGAAUUAGAAAGCUUUAGAAUUUUAAGAGACAAUAUGAGUAAUGACAUCUAACAACUUCACUGGCACUUACAGUUUCAACAUUUUUCUAGCUUUUCCUACACUUCACCUUUUGGAAAUAAGUCAAUAAACUGAUAUUUGUAAGUUUGCUUGAUUCAAAGAAUGAGAAGAACGUAUCUUCACGUGAAGUACACAUGUGACUGAAGCACUGUUAGUUCACCUUCAGCAUGCAUAAGACUUGACGAGGAACUGUCCCUCCUACUCUACCUAAUUUUGCUCAGCUGAUUCCUUGCCCUGGACAAUGGCUGCAGUGCGAUGAACUCGUCACUUAAAGCAACUCUGUUGGAGUACAUCUACAAUUGGACAGAGAAGGGAUGGAACAUACAUGUCAGUAGCAGUAGUAAUUUUCUAAGAAAAAGACACAGGACAAGACAUUGUUAUUUAAGUGGAAUACACGUUAUAUACAGAAACACACACUUGGUACCUUUAGGACAAUUCCUGGGAUCACCACAGCCAGCUAUUUUUGGAAGGACCAUACUUAAGCGCACCUUAGCUUUCAUUCUAAGCCUAUAAACUUACAUGACUAUACUUUACCUGGUAUCCUUAUUCAGUAUUACCUUCUCUCCUUAAUAGUGCUGUGAUUUAUAUUUACCCCAAGAUUUACAUUUUGAUUCAGACUGUCCUUACUGUCCACUUCCUCCUACUUGUUAUAGUCAGAAAAGAACAGAACUGUAGUCAGAAGUUACUCACAACGGGGUAACAGACCCAAGGGCAACAGAUCAAAGUCAAACAUAAUAUGAUGGAUUAUCUUUAAGGCUAUUAAAUAAAAAAAAAGAACACAUUUAAAACAAACCAACAAUAAAAAAACCCACCCACACAUUAUCAAUAAAAACCAAAAACAAAGAACAAAACCCCACAAGCCACACAUGCACACUCAGCCCCUGGGACAGGCAGAACUCACGAAUCCCAUCCUACAGAAGUCAACUCACGCUAAGCCUACAGAAGACACUGAUUUUUUCUUAAAAUUUCUGUGACACAGAACAAUAACUGCAUUUAACUAAAUGUAUCAAAUAUUUCUCCCUUAAUCUACUUAAAUUUCUUUAUGUCAUGGUCAAAAUUACUGCAGUAUGAAACAAACUGAACCUACAGUUUUUUUAGAAUAGACCCAGAAGGUGAGAGAAUGCAGUAAUAAGUACAUGGAUAAGGUCAGGGGGAAAAAAAUUGAGGAAGUUUUGUUUGUUCUUUUUUUAAAGGAAGUAUUUUAGGGACAUGAAAAACUUCAACAACCAUAACGAUAUAUUGCCAAAUGGAAACAGCUGAUGCACAGGAAGGAAAUAGCAAGUGUUCAAUAAGUUGCUCUAAGUUUUGUUUGUUUGUCUAGGGGAGAAGGGUGGGAGAUGACACAAGGGGUAUGAUACGUCAUUACCCAUGUUCUCUUAUAUCAAAUGUGCAACAAAGAGUCUUACCUGGUCUACCUGAGCAGCUCACAAAAAACUAGAGGUUAUUUAUCUCAGAUGUGAGCUAUUAAAUUCCCUGAGUGGAAAAAGCAGCUAGUAUCCCAGUUCUGAAAAAGGACUAAUGGGAUAUUUGGCUAGCUACAGGGUCAGCAUGAGAAUGUCUCAGGUGGAUGUAAACACAAAUUAGCAGGGCAAUGUAAUUUAAGUAAAUCAACAUACACUUAGCAUCUAACUUUUAAAUUACUUUGAUGUAAAGUUAACAGUAGCGAUGUAACGCAGUGAAAAGUUCUCCAUGGCACACAGCUCAACGUAACUUAUAUUAAAGCAAAUAGGACACCACAAAGAUCAAUAUGGCACACAUUAAACAGCCUAAAACCUAAAAACAGAUUCCAGAACUGAACAGGAUGUGGUUUAUUUGUAAGAUCCCUACGCUAUCUGACCUCUCAGCAAUGACGUGGAAGAAAAGAACAAAUACUUGCAGGUAAAAAAGAUGCCAAAGAUAACAGAUUAUCAUAUAUCAUUUAGUAAGCUGAAUACAGCUGAGGGACUCAUCAUUUCCAUACUUGGCACUGACAACAUGCAGUGAUGGAAAGUAAAUUGUUUUUUUUUUUCCCCUGCAAAAGAUUCAAGUUCAAUCUAUACCAGAGAGCAAGUUAAGUUGAUCACAAACAUAAGUGUGAAUAAAAGAAAUUAAAAAACAAAACAAAACAAAAAAAACCCCAAAAACCCAAACACAUUUACUGAAGAAUUUUCAGGUUAUCAGAAAAUGAAUACAAAAAGAAUGUGAUGAAAAAUAAAAACAGGGAGAUUAACUAUGAGGACAACUAUGGGUUAAGAAGGGUUAACUAUACUGCCACUAGAAAUAAGAAACACUGAAAUAUGGAUGAGAUUUCUAUCUAAAAGAGAGACAAACCUUAAUAGGAAUGGUUUGGGGGAGUUUUUGUGGCCUGUGUCGGCAGGAGGAAGAUUCUGUGAUUACAGUGUCUCCUUGUGCCUCACUGACAAGUUUUUGAAAAUGCCACAUUGGUAAUUAUCUCUAAUUACAUAAUCAGCAAUCAAAUACAUGGUACGUAUGGUAUGAUAAGAAAUACUAAUUAAAACAAGUUCUGCUAAAGUAAUAUUUAAAAUUGUUUUCAUCAACAUCUUACAAACUAUUCAAUAUCAAUUACGUUUUCAGAGCUUCCAAUACCUAUACAAAAAUAAGUUCAGUUAUCUUUAUAGCUGUACAAGAAAGUUCCUAAUCCUCCUACACAGUUGCAAAUCAAUAUGUAAAAGGAUGAAUGACCCCUCUGUAAGUGUUUACUAUUGUUAAUGUAUUGAUUACUUAAGCUGUAACUUAUUCCCGUAAAACUGUGUCCCCAUUUCAGUAAUUCUAAAUUAAAAUUUGUCUUCUGAAAUGGGAACACUCAGCUAUACAUUAAAGAUGAUAGCAAUAUAAGAGGAUACUAAAAUAUCACAGGAAGGUAACGAGUGUACAAGACAGAUUUUAACAUGUGCUCUUUAACAUACUGAUCAAGUUGGAUAUAAAAGCAUAACAUUACCUGAGCUUUUUCAGUACUUGUUGGUUGUAGAUGCCUGUACAGCACUUUCUUCACAACAUCAAGAAACAGACAAGCAACUACUAUGAGUAUUAUGGCAAACCAAGCAGAACCACUUGACAACAGUUGAACAAAUACAAAGUACAUAUCCUGGGUAUGUAAAAAUGGCCUGAGAAGUUAAAAGAAGUGGAUAUUACUAAAAGGAACCACUAGAAACCAAAGUACAGUACAGACAGACAAGCAGUAAGUCUCUUUGGAUACAAGUUACAACUGUAUACUGUCCAAAAAGAACUGCUAUCUCUUGGACCUGUCCUGCAAAAGAACACUGGUAAAGGAGGGAAUAGAACUUUGGAGAAAAGUGACCUCCAAGAUCCCAAAAUCCAAGUAAAAAUAUAUUACUUCACUGAUUCAAACAUCAGUGCCCUCAUUUCCGUUGCAAGCAUUCACCUGUUACACAGAACAUUUAGGAAUUCUAUGUGCUUUUUACAAAUAAAAAUGCCUUAAUAACCA